rnacentral:rRNA from 1 species
UGGGCAACCUGCCCCUCUCUCUGGGAUAACCCCCGGGAAACCAGAGCUAAUACCGGAUACUCCGGCUGGAUCGCAUGGUCCGGCCGGGAAAGGUCCGCCGGAGAGGGAUGGGCCCGCGGCCUAUCAGCUUGUUGGUGGGGUCAUGGCUCACCAAGGCGAUGACGGGUAGCUGGUCUGAGAGGACGACCAGCCACACUGGAACUGAGAUACGGCCCAGACUCCGUACGGGAGCA